rnacentral:lncRNA from 1 species
GGAGGUGGCAUCUCUGGGCAGAUAAAAGGGAGCUGAUGAACGAAAGAAAAAAACAUCUUGAGGGAUCGUGAAUCUGGGUGAAGGGGAGGUGAUGGAGAGAGGGGUUGCAAGAAGAAUAUACUAGUGGGAGUUCCCGUCGUGGCACGGCAGAAACGAAUCCGACUAGUAUCCAUGAGAAUGUGGGUUCGAUCCCUGGCCUUGCUCAGUGGGUCAAGGAUCCAUGAGCUCUAGUGUAGGUCAUGGAUGCGGCUCAGAUUGUGUGUGGCUGUGACUGUGGCAUAGGCCAGCAGCUGUAGCUCGGAUUGGACCCCUAGCCUGGGAACUUCCAUAUGCCGUGGGCGUGGCCCUAAAAAAAAGAAAAAAAGAACCCAACAUAGUGUCCCAGAGGUGUCAGAGGGUGAAGGAUCCUGCAUUGCAGCAAGUUGCAGUGUAGGCUGAAGAUGCGGUUCAGAUCCCGUGUUCUCAUGACUGUGGCGUAGGCUUCAGCUGCAGUUCCAAUUUGACCCCUAGCCUGGGAAUUUCCAUAUGCUGCAGGUGUGUCCCUAAAAAGAAGAGAAAAAAAAAAAAGAAUAUGCAGGUGAUUUUAGAAUGGCUAAGCAGUGAGGAAGCGCUCCAGGCGGAUGCGCCCGCUAAAGGUCACCGCGUCAAUGACCGCAAGUCCUUCCCGCCCGAGUUCCACUCCUGCUCCAGCAGCUUGCAGGGCACCAACGGUACCUGCUUCAGAGGGAAAGUCAGGCACGGUGUCCCGCUGAGCUGCCUGGUCCUCUCAUUGCCUCACGGCCCCGCAGCCUGCAGGGAGCACCAUCUGUAUGCUGAGUACUAGGUGAGGUGGACGAGAAUAGCAGUGAAUGAGGCUAGCAGGUCCCAACCCCUGUGCCACCCGGGCUGGGGUAACAAAACCAGAGCCUGGGAGGUGGAGAUGACCCACUCCGACAUGCACAGCAGCCUGAAAGCCCAAGUACACAGCACACCCUACCCCGAGCCCAUGGAGCCCCGCUUUCUUUCUCUUUUAUUUUGGAUGGCCCCACAGCAUAUGGAGUUCUGGGCCAGGGAUCAGAUCCAAGCCGCAGCUGAGACUUAUUUAACCCACUGUGCUGGGCCAGGGAUUGAACCUGCAUCCCAGGGCUCCCAGGAGGCCACCGAUCCCACUGUGCCAUGGUGGGAACUCUGGGGCACUGCCUUCUCACCUGACUGCAGAGAGCAUCACUGACAUGGAUUUUGGGUGUCUUUGUAUGUCAGCAUCCCUGACAUGGAAUUCGUAUGUUGGGUUUGCUCAACCUCCCUGCCCCAAGUCCACAGAGCACAGGGCAGUGCGCAGGGGGCUUAGCCCAUUCGGGCUGCUCUUACAGAAAUACCAUAGCCUGGCGAGCUAAUAAACAACAGAAAUUUACUUCUCACCAUUCUGAAGUAAAGGUUCUGGCAGAUUCCAUGUCGGGUGGGCCCCCUCUUCCCUGUGCAUAGACAGCCAUUGCUCACCAUGUCCUUAUGUAGUGGAGGGGGCGAGGGAGGCCCCGGGGCUUCUGAUAAAAGGGCACUAAUCCCAGGCACGAGGCUGCCUCCUCAUGACCUGAUCACCUCCUGCCCGUCCCACCUCCAAAGCCCAUCGCGUCAGAGUUAGGCUUUAUCAUAUGACUUUGUGGGGAGGGGGUGACAAAUGUCCAUGGCAGAUGCUGAGUCUAAAUGUCCUGAGGCCCAAUCUGCUCUUGCCCCAUAAAGGGCAAGAUUAAUCAACAUAAGGGACCAAGGAGCCCUUGGCUUGAAACACAAUGAUUAGAGAAAAUACAACGCUUGGUAGGAUGACCAGAUGGAGAGGAUGCUGAAAAAUAAAUGAGGUGUGAGCAUUACAAUUUAUCCCCGUCACUACAGAACUGCUUAUUACUAAGCUCCGUGUGGGCACAGUGCAGGGCCUGGGAAAAAGGACAGAUGAGAGGUGAAAACAAGUGACAGUGUCUCUAGCGGGGACGGCGCCUUGCUCUGGGGCCUCCUGGAGCAUCCCUUUGUGUGGCCAUACCCAAAUUUAUCCAGAGGAAAUGGAUCCACUCUUAAUUGGUCAACGUGUUCUUUCAAGUUGACCCUGACCUGCAGUUUUAACUUUUCCCAUUUUUGAUCCUUUCCCCACCAUUUUUCUUCGGGUGCUUCGUACGUCUUGCUUGGACGACUCCACGCACUUCCGAAACUGAUAGCUCUGGCCCAGCUCAUUUGCUACACACUGAAAAGAGGCCUGUCUACACGGCACAUCUGCUCAUGACAUUUCAUUGCCUGCAUUUUCCCAGUUGUCUGCAGGGUAGGUUUUGUCCCCUUAAUGCAGAGCAUCCUCCCAGUCCAAGCCUGGCCCGCGCCACGCCUCCCACCGCACUGCCCCCACCCCCUGGGAUUCCCUACAACCCCGCCAAGGUCCUUCUUGCCCAAUGUCCCCCUUCAUGUGUGUGAUGUCCCACUGACCUGUCCUUUCUUCCCUGGUCCACAUGACCUCGCUUUAUUCCAGGGAGCUUCUUACAGAAGCUUUGAGAACCACAGGUCCAUUGUUCUUCCUCUGUGCACACCUGCCUUCACGUUCAUCUAGGUACUGUUUGCCUCCCCACUAGAUUGGUCGUUCUUCAAGGCCAAGGUUGUGUUUUCAGUAUCUGUGUUUCCCCAGUGUCUCAAUAAGGUCUGGUGUACAGUCGAUGCUCAAUAAAUGUCUGGGAGUUUGAUGACAGAGGCCAAAAAAAAAAAAAAAAA